CUCCUCAGUACUGAAAACGCCAUAGAAUCUUGUCUUAUAGCUGUCCCUACCCCCAUCUCACUGUUAAGAAAGUACCUACAUACCCAUAGACCCCAUAAAUCUCUACAACUAUAUUCUUAUGCCUUCAACCCACUCGUAGGCAAGCCUCCUCUAGCCCUGAAGACAAUUAAUGUGACAGGUGCUGAACUAUGUUGGUCUUUUUCAUGUAAUUGUUCAAGAGACCCUAAUACUGAAUCCCUGUUUUGCCCCACAUGGUGGAAAAAUACCACGAAUUGUAGAGCCCUAAGCACCACUAUGAAUUGUACCAAAACUCAC